UUUUUUUGUUGUCGUUGUGGGGGGUUGUUUGUUUGUUUGUUUUUAUUUUGUUUUUUUUUCUGUAUUAAAAAUCUGGCUCAGUUACUCUCUACUUCUGGUGUGUUUUCUUUUCCAGGUGGUUGGUGUUUCUGCAGUGUUUGGCACAGGACUGGGGGAGAUUUUUACCCAGCUUUCUAAAGCUGUAGAUGAAUAGGAGAGACUGAAUGCACUCCCUUUAUUCACCUUUUCGGAGAGUAUCGUCCAGAAUACGAGCGCCUGAGAAAAACACUGGACAGUUCUCUGCAGGCACAGCUACACAGAGUUUGGCUUCCCGGCGCUGCUGAAAACGUCCUAGAAUCCCACCUGACUGGAGGUUGCUUUCCACGCUUAGUCAGAAGUUCUGUGAAACCUUAGUUGAAAUGUAAGACCUGCAUAGUGACUUCUGCUCUCUGACUGGGGGACAGGCUGCUGGGUUUGGGUGAGGUUUCUCUUCUCCUGAUGUUUUAAAUGUUCUCAGAAUCCACAGGUAAAUCUUUGUCUACGGGAGAAAGCUCAAAAUAAACAAAAGAGAGAGCAGCUGGAACACUUGUGGAAGGACAUGGGCAGCGUGUGUGUGCAGGGCAGCACAGUGGCAGGACCUGAUGCUUCUGCAAUGGGUCCCUCUGAGCUAAUACUAACACGAGGAACUCUCGAUGAAGAGCAAGAAGAGAGGGAGAGUGACGCUGAUGGCAUUGACCAUGAAGGUAAGGGAAUGAGGUCUAAAAGCUGCCUCUCAAGAAAUCCCCUCUAUAUUUCAUGUCCUGGAUGGACUGUAAGGAGAGCCUAGAAAACAAGCAAACAUUCAGUCACCUGACGUGUCAGAAUGUGUAGCAGAAGCUCAGCUGCAAUGGUCAGUGCAGGGAUAUCACUCUGUAACCUUUGUGAAAGUUCAAUUGUAAAUUUUCUAUUCAAGUAAUUAAUAGGUGUAUAAUACACAUAGACCAGAGAACUCGUUAGGCUUGGGGCAUGCAGUGACCUCUGAACCUGAUUGAUGCACAGAUGUGUCCAUCAUCUUUUUGGCCUUACAGUUUCUGCCCCUGGCUCUCUUCCCUUUUCCUGUGACUGUGGUCUUGGAGCAAUCUUCUAAGUUGUUACAGUGUGAUUUUUCUCUUCUAUAGCUCACAGACUUAAUCUUCAUUCUUUCCCUGUUCCACUGAUGGGUAGGAUCACUUAUUUCCUUUGCCCUGUAAUGUAGCUGAAGAUGGAAUAGACUUUCUAUGUUGCUUUGGCUA